rnacentral:rRNA from 1 species
CAGUCGCCACGGGAAUACGUAGGGUGCGAGCGUUAAUCGGAAUUACUGGGCGUAAAGCGUGCGCAGGCGGUUCGCUAAGACAGAUGUGAAAUCCCCGGGCUUAGCCUGGGAACUGCAUUUGUGACUGGCGGGCUAGAGUAUGGCAGAGGGGGGUAGAAUUCCACGUGUAGCAGUGGAAUGCGUAGAGAUGUGGAGGAAUACCGAUGGCGAAGGCAGCCCCCUGGGCCAAUACUGACGCUCAUGCACGAAAGCGUGGGGAGCAAACAGGAUUAGAUACCCCUGUAGUCCCUGUCUCUUAUAC